rnacentral:tRNA from 1 species
GCGUUUGUAACUCAAUUGGAUAGAGUGUCGGAUUUCGGUUCCGAAAGUUAUGGGUUCAACUCCUAUCAGACGUU